rnacentral:rRNA from 1 species
GGUUAAGCGACUAAGCGUACACGGUGGAUGCCCUGGCAGUCAGAGGCGAUGAAGGACGUGCUAAUCUGCGAUAAGCGCCGGUAAGGUGAUAUGAACCGUUAUAACCGGCGAUUUCCGAAUGGGGAAACCCAGUGUGAUUCGUCACACUAUCAUUAACUGAAUCCAUAGGUUAAUGAGGCGAACCGGGGGAACUGAAACAUCUAAGUACCCCGAGG